rnacentral:lncRNA from 1 species
GAACCGGAGGAGUCUCUUAAGCUUGCGUGUUCCCGGCUGCAGUGGCUGCCUUGCGGUAUGGGACGAGCGGGGCCCGAGCGGGCGGAAAUUUGAGAGUGUCAUGAGCAGUCUCUUAAGUGCCCUUCAUAAGGGCAGUAUCUGUGUUUGAAAUAAGUUGAACCUUCAGCAGUUGGACUCACAUAGAGCAUUGUCUCCUCCACUGAGGUCCAUUCUGAAACAAGGAUUCUCCUUGGAACUCCAGGGACAGAACUUCCUGUAAACAUCUGGACUGUCCCCCCUGUGUGACCCAGAUGAAAAAAGAUGACCAAGGGCUUUCAGCCUCACUUAUGGGAGAGAGUGGAGUUGGGGGUAAGAGGAGUCCAAACAGAGAUUCUUAUAAUUUUCUGCAAAGAGGAAGCUUUGGAAACUGACUAAGAAUCUGUGUAAACAUAGUGAGUAAACAUGCAGACCAUUUCUCAGAACAAAAUGUGUGGACAGGGUUCCUCUGUUCUGUGGAUCCAAAGUGCCUCAUGAUGCUAAGGCAAGGUGGAUGGUGGAGACUUAGAAUGAACACAGACAUUUUCCAGGGGAAUAUUUUAACUUCCAGCCAAUCCUUUUCUUUUUAGGAUUUAACAUCAAUAUGAUCAUUUUCACUUUACAGAUGAAUGAAUUCAGGUGCAGACAUUGUGGCUCUCAGGUUUGCCCCAUGCAUCUGUGCUAAAGCCGGGGGAUGGCCCUCACCUCUCAGCAUUACCAAAUGAGCUUUCAGGCUAAUGCACUCUGAACUGGCAUCGUCUCCCAGUUGUGAGUGCUUUGAAAUAAAACAGAAGCUAUGCUACAGCUGAACAAUUCAAAUCAUUGGCAGAAAGUGUGGUAGGUAAAUGGCACUAUGAAAAAUGAAAAGCAUCUUGUUUCCUGUGAACUAAAAAUGGAUAGGUCCAAUUAUUGCCCCUUCCACACAUGAAGACUGCACAAAGUUAGUUAAUUAUAAAUAAUUCAUCCAACCAUAGAAGGGAUGAGCUAUAUGUUAUAUUACUGAGCUUUAAAAAUCUUUAUGAGUGUAGCAAGAGACACAUAUACCAACAGCUGCUAAAUUCAGAAUCCUGGGGCAGUAUCUUAUUUUAAUAUAAGGGAAGAACCACACAGUCUAUCGCUCUAGGGAUUUCCUGCUAUAUAAAAAGACCUUAAAUCUACAUGAGAUUUUACUCGUGAUUUCAAAGCACUUAAUAAAAAGCUGUUUUGUUUUGUUUUUUAAUUUGAAUAUCUUUUAACUCUACCCCCAGCCACACUAUUUACAACACAGAUAAUGCUUUCUGGACUAGAUUGCCCAAGGCAGAGGCUUCCUUUUUUCCUCCUGCCUAUUUCCUUCUUUACUUUUUUCUUUUCUUUUCUUUUCUCAUCCUUUCUUUUGUUAAAUUCUUCAACACCUAGCUCAGAGCCCAGCACUUUGUGUUGUGUGUGCAUUGACCGUUGAGCAUGAAUGAUCACCCUCACUGCCAGAAGAGUAAAAAGUCAUAAACAUCGGAGUGGGUUGCUGAGCUCUGAGCAGAAUCAGAAGCUCUAAUUCUCCCAGUGGCUCUGCGGAACUUCUGCCUACUGCACAAUCAGGAGUUGGAGCUGUGUCUUGGGGUGACUUAAUUCAAGUAAAACCUCAGACUGGGAUGUCAGCCAGCAUUCUAAGGAGAACUUCUGUAAGAAUGUUAUGUCUUAAAAUACGUAAAUUCAAGUUCUGAGCCUUAGAACAUAAGGCAAAUAGUACCUUGCCUUACAGAAGGAUAAAGUACAAGCAAUAAAACAAGCCAAGUUGCUGCCUAAAGUCCCUUGACUGAAAUCAUAUUUGUCCAUGAUCUCUUAUUUUGGUGGACCUUUAAUAACUGGGACAAGGAUAUUGAAGAACUAAUUGCUGUGCAUUCAGCAACUGACUGUGCGUGGGUCUGCAAGGCAUGCAACCCAUGCUUGUGCAGAACUUGGAAACUUGAAUCUGGGGAAGACUUAGUUUUUCAAACUCUUGCCAUAGCCCUUCCUUGAUAGGGUUUUACCUAUGAGAGCUCAGAUGCAGAUUUCUUGAGCCACUUAAUCAAGGCCAGAUGUAUACUCUAUUCAUCCACUAGCACUGUUAGGAUGAGUUUUGCCCCAGAGUUUGGGGAGAGAUAAGCAGCUGUGAUUGUACAGAAACAGACACCAAACUUAAGCUGAAAAUUUUACUGCACAAUUGGCCAGCAGUAGUAGGCCACACCAAUAAUAAAGACAAAACCACCAAUUUAAAGCAGCAGUAGAAUCUGGGAAAUGCUCUUUCUGCAAUUGCUUUGAAUACAAAACAUCUCAGAAUUACAGGGAUUUUGCCUGCAGAGUUGCUAAUGAAGAUGUGGCUGGCAGUGUCCCUCGAGUUUGUUUAUCCAGCUGUACAAGAGUCUGUAUGACAGUAACUGGAUUUAUAAAAAUUUAAAAAUACCAAAGCCAACUUCUGAAGAAAGAAGUUUCCCCUAAGUCCACUAAAACCUUGUAUUUAUAAAUGAGAAGCUUUAUUGCUACCACAUCUGCUUAUGUAUAGGUGUGCUUUUACUUGAAAGAAAAUUGUAGACAAGGUGAAACUUAAAAGGGGAGAACAAGAUGGGCCCUUCUUCUUCCUCCCCCUCCCUGUACCAGAGGUCAACUAUGGGGUGGGGGAUAAUUUUGCCCCUCAGGGGACAUUUGGCAGGGUCUGUAAUUUUGAUUUUGAUUGUUACAUUGUGGGAUGAGGAACUGCUGGCAUCUAGAGGCCUGGAACACUCUUGAGCAUCCUAGACUGCACUAGACUGCACUAGACUGCCCCUAACCCCAAACAAAGAAUUUCCAGCCCAGAAUGUCAGUACUACAUUCUGCCCUAGCCCACUGACUCCAAAAAUUGAGUAUGUGCAAAUUGUUGGUAGUUGUUUAAAUCAGAUCUUGAAUUCUCCCCUGGUUUUUCAAUCAGCUUUUGGCCAUUAGUUCCAGAGACAGCUGUUACCAGAUUUGUUCACACAGGGCCUUCUGUUUAGCAGAUCUUGGGUCAUUUAUCUUCCCUUGACCAAAGACACCACUAAACCUAGCUAUUUCACCUCAAAUGAAAGCCUAGGCUAGGUUUCCAGGUACAACUGGCAAUAAAUCAAUGACUACAAAACAGUAAGGGGAAAAUGUGACUUUAGGGUUAUCAGAAAUCCCCUGCCAAUGUUAAAAAAAUCAUAACCCUUCACAAACACACAAACCCCUCAAACGUUUUUUUUAAUUAGCUGAGUUUUUUUCCCUUUAGGACAAUGUUUUUCAAAUUAAAAUCCUGAACCCUCCAGUAUCAGAAAGACCAAGGUGUUAUUAAAAAUGUCAGUUUCUCAAAUCUGUCCGAACCCUCUGGAUUGAGAAUUCUCGAGUGUAUGAAUUUGGUAAUCUCCGCCUUUAAAAUGCACCUGAGGUACACACCAAAUUUUGAGUUACUGUUCUAAGGCAAGGAUUCUCAUUCUUUUCUUCCCUACACAACUGUGUGUGUGACUUUGGGGGUCUCUUUGGAUGUGUACCCAAAACAUCCCCAGGCUGACAGGAGCACAGAGACCAACGGGAUAGAAGUUGGUGUUGUAGAAUAACCCAGAGACAUGUGGGUAACUAUUUCACAGCUAGUUUAAUUAUUUUAUAUGCUAAUUGUUUAUUCACACCUGAGAGGGUGAGGCAAAUAGUAUUUCUAAAACAAAAAGGAAAGAAAAGACAAUCUAGUAACGGUGGAACUUGUAUUACAUGUUUUGGGGGCAAAUUGAUUUAAGUGAAAGGUAGCAGAGAAGUUUGUACUGGGGCCUUGAGUGGCCAACUGCAAUUCUUUAUGGAUUCCCCAGAAAGCAGCUGGGAGCUGGGAGCAGAUGUGACAGGCCAUCCCU